rnacentral:rRNA from 1 species
AUGGAGUUUGUAGUAGGAGCUUCGGAAGCCACCAUGAGGUCUCUCCUAUGCAAGUUGGGCAACCUCCUUGCCCAAGAGUACUCGCUGAUCCGUGGCGUCCGCGGCGACAUCCAAUACAUCAAUGAUGAGCUCGCCACCAUGCAGGCCUUUCUGGGCGACCUUGGUUCUGCCCUGGACGACCAUGAUCGCCGGCUCAAGAGUUGGAUGAAGCAGAUCCGUGACAUGGCAUACGACAUGGAAGACUGCGUCGAUGACUUUGCUCAUCGCCUCCCUCAAGACUCCCUCACCGAUGCAAGAUGCUCCUUCAUCAUGACGGCAGUUUACGAGGUGUGGACAUUUUGGCCUCGCCGCGACAUUGCUUCCAAGAUUUCUAAGCUCAAGAUCCGGGCACAACACAUUGCUGAGCGGCGCAGCAGAUAUGGAGUGGACAACCCAGUAAGAAGCGGCUCUAGGGCCGAAAAAAACCAUGCUGUUACAUAUGUCAUUGCUGAGCAUCUGAUGGCGAGCCGUCAGCUCAUCCGCACAGAGAAUCCAGUGGGAGUGGUGGUCGACAUGGAGAAGCUCGGGGUUUGGCUAACCAAACGUGAUAAAGGCUCUCAUCGAGCUGUUUUGUCCUUGAUUGGAUUCGGGGGUGUGGGAAAGACCACCAUUGCCAUGGCAUUGUACCAAGAUUUCGGGAAUGGAUUUGACUGUCGAGCAUCAGUCACAGUGUCUCAGAACUUCGAUGAAGAUGAAGUCCUGAGGGGUGUUCUUGGGCAAAUCAAACCAGUAGACAGUCAAACCAAGCCAAAGGAGGGGCAGGAGGGCAGCAACACAGGGAAGUUGGAGAAGAAAAACCUAGUGGCAGACAUUAAAAGCUCAGUGAAACGAAUUGUGCCACUGCUCUCUGGUCACAGGACGCAAAGCAAUGAUGGUAGCUCCCACUGGAUGCAGACUAAGCUAGAGACAAUGAACCAUGACCAACUUGUUGAAGAACUCAAAAAGCGCCUGAUUGGAAGGAGUUAUCUCCUCUUGAUUGAUGAUAUAUGGUCUGUAGAAACAUGGGGGACCAUUAGAAAUUGGUUGCCACAUAAUAAUACAAAGGAUAGUACAGUAAUAGUAACUACAAGAUUUCAAGCCGUUGGUGCGGCAUGCUCAGAAAGAGAUGGAACUGAUUAUCUGCAUACUGUUAAUGUUCUAAGUGAUGCCGACUCCAAAAGUCUAUUUCUUCAUGGCGUUUCUGAGUCCACAAGCAGCAAAAGCAGCAAUAACCAUGAGGGUAUAUGGAAAUAUUGUGGGGGGCUGCCUUUAGCCAUAGUCACCAUGGCUGGCCUUGUUGCUUGCAACCCCCAAAACAAGAGUGAUCAUUGGAGUAAAGUUUGCAAGUCAUUAUUUCCAGAGCAAGUGGCUCCCCUUACAUUGGAGGGGGUCACAAGGAUACUUGAUUAUUGCUACAAUGAUUUGCCAGCAGAUCUCAAGACCUGCUCAUUGUACUUGAGCAUAUUCCCCAAGGGCUCAAAAAUUAGUAAGAAGCGUCUGACCCGGCGAUGGAUAUCUGAAUGCUUUGUCUCUGAGAAGCAAGGGCUGAGUGCAGAGGAAGUCGCAGAAACAUACUUCAAUCAGCUCGUAAGCAGGAAGAUAAUACGCCCCGUAGAUCAUAGCAGCAAUGGGAAGGUCAAAUCCUUUAAAGUUCAUGAUAUGAUCCUUGAAUAUAUCGUGUCCAAGUCAAGUGAAGAGAAUUUCAUUACUGUUGUUGGUGGACAUUGGCUGAUGCCAACUCCUAGCAACAAAGUCCGUCGACUCUCCAUGCAAAGCAUUGGUUCCAAGCAUGAGAAUUCAACAAAAGGCAUGAACUUGUCUCAAGUGCGGUCAUUGACAGUGUUUGGAAGCCAGAACAGACGACUCCCCUUCCAUUCAUUCAAUAAUGGAAUAAUACAAAUGCUAGAUCUUGAGGGCUGGAAGGGCUUGACAGAUAAACAUCUAAAUGACAUAUGUAAAAUGCUUGUGCUGAAGUAUUUGAGCCUCCGAAGAACAGAGGUUUCUGAGAUUCCCUCAAGGAUUGAGAAGCUCCAGUAUCUAGAAACUCUUGACAUAAGGGAGACAAAUGUCGAGGUGCUGCCCAAGGCCUUUGGACAGCUCAAGCGGCUCCGUAGCAUGCUUGGAGGGAACAAAAAUACAAGGAAGGCAUUGAAGUUACCACAUGAGAAGAAUAAGGAACCGAUGAAAGUACUCCGUAUACUGUCAGGGAUUGAGAUCGAUGAUGACUCAUCAGCUGUAGCAAGCCUUCAUCAGCUGACAGGGCUAAGGAAGCUUGCAAUUUACAAGCUCAAUACAAGGGAGGGCAGUCAGAUCUUCAAAGAAUUAAGCUCCGCUAUAGAGUACCUCUGUAGCUGUGGUCUGCAAACUCUUACAAUCAAUGAUGAGGGCUCUGGUUUUAUUAACUCAUUGGACACCAUGUCUGCUCCUCCAAGAUACAUCAUUGGCCUGGAGCUGUCUGGAAAGAUGGAAAAGGCUCCAAAGUGGAUUAAAGAUCUCAAUAAUCUCUACAAGCUAACCCUUUCCGUGACAGUUCUUCGGACUGAUACUUUCAAGCUCGUCUAG